CUAUACACAUAAUUGAAACGGAGCGGUAGGUUAAAAUCUUGAAGCCAUGACCAAUAGCCUUCCGCCAUCUGGAUUUAUGACACCACAUCCGGCUGCAUUUCAGGCUGGAGCAAACAAGAUGCCGGUUUUUCCAGGCUACGGUUACAGUCCAAUGUGGUAGUAUUUACCACAAUCGAAUUAGCAAAAAUUGCAAAGAAGCAUGAGCUUGGUGAAGAGAAACUUGUUUGAAAGGCGGAAAAGCAAAAAUGGAGCUGCAGGCUUGGAGCAAACAAGAUGCCUUUUUGUCCAGGCUAUGGUUACAUUCCAAUGUGGCAGUAUUUACCACAAUCGAAAAAAAAUAAUUUGUACUGCGAAGUUGACGAUGCCAGUCAGUAUAAAGCAUUUCUUGAGAGGCCAAGAAGGGAAAUAUUGGAUAACAG